GUAAAGCGCACGCAGGCGGUCUGUCAAGUCGAUGUGAAAUCCCCCGGCUCAACCUGGGAACUGCAUUCGAAACUGGCAGGCUAGAGUCUUGUAGAGGGGGGUAGAAUUUCCAGGUGUAGCGGUGAAAUGCGUAGAGAUCUGGAGGAAUACCGGUGGCGAAGGCGGCCCCCUGGACAAAGACUGACGCUCAGGUGCGAAAGCGUGGGGAGCAAACAGGAUUAGAUACCCUGGUAGUCCACGCCGUAAACGAUGUCGAUUUGGAGGUUGUGCCCUUGAGGCGUGGCUUCCGGAGCUAACGCGUUAAAUCGACCGCCUGGGGAGUACGGCCGCAAGGUUAAAACUCAAAUGAAUUGACGGGGGCCCGCACAAGCGGUGGAGCAUGUGGUUUAAUUCGAUGCAACGCGAAGAACCUUACCUGGUCUUGACAUCCACAGAACUUUCCAGAGAUGGAUUGGUGCCUUCGGGAACUGUGAGACAGGUGCUGCAUGGCUGUCGUCAGCUCGUGUUGUGAAAUGUUGGGUUAAGUCCCGCAACGAGCGCAACCCUUAUCCUUUGUUGCCAGCGGUUAGGCCGGGAACUCAAAGGAGACUGCCAGUGAUAAACUGGAGGAAGGUGGGGAUGACGUCAAGUCAUCAUGGCCCUUACGACCAGGGCUACACACGUGCUACAAUGGCGCAUACAAAGAGAAGCGACCUCGCGAGAGCAAGCGGACCUCAUAAAGUGCGUCGUAGUCCGGAUUGGAGUCUGCAACUCGACUCCAUGAAGUCGGAAUCGCUAGUAAUCGUAGAUCAGAAUGCUACGGUGAAUACGUUCCCGGGCCUUGUACACACCGCCCGUCACACCAUGGGAGUGGGUUGCAAAAGAAGUAGGUAGCUUAACCAUCGGGAGGCGCUACCA
rnacentral:rRNA from 1 species